AUUAAACGCUGGCGGCAUGCCUUACACAUGCAAGUCGAACGGCAGCACGGGGGCAACCCUGGCGGCGAGUGGCGAACGGGUGAGUAAAGCAUCGGAACGUGCCCUGGAGUGGGGGGAUAACGUAGCGAAAGUUACGCUAAUACCGCAUAUCCUGUGAGCAGGAAAGCAGGGGAUCGCAAGACCUUGCGCUCUGGGAGCGGCCGAUGUCGGAUUAGCUAGUUGGUGGGGUAAAGGCCUACCAAGGCGACGAUCCGUAGCGGGUCUGAGAGGAUGAUCCGCCACACUGGGACUGAGACACGGCCCAGACUCCUACGGGAGGCAGCAGUGGGGAAUUUUGGACAAUGGGCGAAAGCCUGAUCCAGCCAUGCCGCGUGAGUGAAGAAGGCCUCGGUUGUAAGACUCUUCGCGGGAGAAUGCAUGGUAAUACCUCGUGUAGAUGACGGUA
rnacentral:rRNA from 1 species